rnacentral:rRNA from 1 species
UACGGGGGGGGCAAGCGUUGUUCGGAAUUACUGGGCGUAAAGGGCGCGUAGGCGGCCUUCUAAGUCAGACGUGAAAUCCCUCGGCUCAACCGAGGAACUGCGUCUGAUACUGGAAGGCUUGAAUCCGGGAGAGGGAUGUGGAAUUCCAGGUGUAGCGGUGAAAUGCGUAGAUAUCUGGAGGAACACCGGUGGCGAAGGCGGCAUCCUGGACAGUGACUGACGCUGAGACGCGAAAGCGUGGGGAGCAAAUAGG